rnacentral:rRNA from 1 species
UAGUGAGUUUGAUCCUGGCUCAGAACGAACGCUGGCGGCAUGCCUAACACAUGCAAGUCGAACGAGACCUUCGGGUCUAGUGGCGCACGGGUGCGUAACGCGUGGGAAUCUGCCCUUGGGUUCGGAAUAACUCCUCGAAAGGGGUGCUAAUACCGGAUGAUGUCUUCGGACCAAAGAUUUAUCGCCCAAAGAUGAGCCCGCGUAAGAUUAGCUAGUUGGUGGGGUAAUGGCCCACCAAGGCGACGAUGCAUAGCCGACCUGAG